CCCCACCAUCCUGGAAAGGCCCAGGCGGCCCCAGGAAGAGCCUGGGCAGUGGGAGGGGCUUAUGUGUACAAAAAAAUUGCUGAUGGUACUUAAGACUGUAUCAUUUUUAAUUGGUUGUACGCAAUCUGUCAGUUUGGGAACCGUUGAACUAGAAUAAUCUUCUUGAUUAGACAU